GAUGAACGCUGACAGAAUGCUUAACACAUGCAAGUCUUUGGUGAAGCUGUGCUUGCACAGCCUAGCCAAGGCGGACGGGUGAGUAACGCGUAAGGAACUUGCCCUGCAGUCAGGGAUAACAGACGGAAACGACUGAUAAGACCUGGUAAAGUCAGGCGGACUCAUGUCCAGCCUGAUGAAAAGAGAUGCUGCAGGAGAGCCUUGCGUCCUAUUAGCUUGUUGGUGGGGUAACGGCCCACCAAGGCAAUGAUAGGUAGCCGGCCUGAGAGGGUGGACGGCCACAAGGGGACUGAGAUACGGCACUUACUCCUACGGGAGGCAGCAGUGGGGAAUAUUGGACAAUGGGGGCAACCCUGAUCCAGCAAUUCUGUGUGCACGAUGAAGGUUUUCGGAUUGUAAAGUGCUUUCAGCAGGGAAGAAAAAAAUGACGGUACCUGCAGAAGAAGCGACGGCUAAAUACGUG
rnacentral:rRNA from 1 species